AUGAUGGCCUGGUGGCGCAAGAAGGUCGUCUUCCCCGCGCGCCGCGCGCUCGCCGCCGUCUCCACCCGCGUCCGCUCCCGCAAGACAGGCGGUGGAGGCAGCAUACUGAAGCUUCACGAGGACGUGCAGACCUGCGGAUACAAGGACGUGCAGGUGAUGUUCGAGAUGCUGACGUCGGAGCUCGAGGACCCCAAGAGGCGCAAGCAACAGACGGCGGCCUCCUGGAGGCCGCCCUCGGCGUGGCCCGCCCGGUCGUCGUCGUCGAUCGCGGCCGCGGCGCAGUAG
rnacentral:rRNA from 1 species